rnacentral:lncRNA from 1 species
CUGUGAGAGACAGCACUGCAUAUAAAUCCUAUAAAUUUUCAUUCUGUCUGUAUUUUAAAAGCCAGGAAUAAGAGCUGAUUUAUCCCUGCUUUUUGUUUUGUUUUGUUUUGUUUGUUUGUUUGUUUGUUUUCCUUUAAGAACUGUGCAUUCUUAAUGUGUUCUGUUCAUCAGUACAGGUGGUUAUACCUGUAUUUUGUACUUCGACUACCUAAUCUGCUCUUAUUUCUGUAUUCCUGUUCAUUCCAGGAUCCAGUCUUGCCUAAUAAAAGAACUACUUAGUACUGAAUUUCCAAGCUUAUUCAAGUUCACUUUUAUGAGUACAUCAAUCUCUGCAGUCUGAGGCAACUCAGGAGGAGUAAUGGAGGUUGCUCCUGUAGAUCCUUUGGAUCCUUCUCUCCCACACUCAGCUCUUUACCAGGAAAGCAGUCUCUCUUCUAAAGGCAACUGGGAGAGAACAAGGACAGAGAGGUGUUCAGUAGCACAGGAGCUGCAUUUGUGUUUUAAGUUCUGAGUCAAUCAAGGAAAAAAGUGGAAGGAAAAGAAACAUGUAAGUAUGGAGAAUGGAUAGUAUAGCAUACGUAGUAUACACAUCGUAUAAGGCUACGUAACUAGUAGUUUAUGCAUAAAGCACAUAGUGCAGCUAUCCAUAACUCUUGAGAAAACAAGGUAUACUUAGCUACU